UAGGCAGGGAGGAUACCCAGCAGAAUAGGCAGGGAGGAUACCCAGCUGAAUAGGCAGGGAGGAUACCCAGUCACUGGCCAGAAAGCAAAUGCCAGCAAACUGGUUUGGGCUUAAGCUGCACAGACGCUGCUCUCUCUGCUCUCUACAGCAGUUGUAGCACAGCAUAACAAUGUGCCUGGGCUCCACACCACAGUUUGGAAGGCUGAACUGUCACUAUCAUUCCUGAGGACUAAUGACCACCAGAGGAGAAGAAACACUCUGCACUAUUCAAUACAGCAUGCAGAUGCUUAACUUCACUUCAAACACAAGUACCAGAAGUCAAUGAGACCAGUUGUGUCUAACCACCUGCAGAAGUACUGCCUUGAACUAGGUCUUUGCUGCUGUCACCAAAACCUCUCAAUUCCACCUUUCUGUGAUGUCUGACACUGGGCACAUCUCACCUGAGAUGCUACCAGUACUGAAUUUCACAUCCCCUAGGAUUCAGCACUCAGAGCCAGCUUGCACUGGACAGCCCCACAGAGAAGAUGCUAUUAACAGAAAGGCCUGCUGGCUGUUUGUUGGGCUGGGCAAACCCAUGCCUCAAUCCAAGCCCAGCGCCAUCCUGGCCAGCCCCAGGCUCCCUGCCUCCCCAGACCAGUCCCACACAAUGGAGCAGCUUUCCCUAGGAGACAACUUGCAACUGCUCCCCUGACAUGCUGGUUUUGAGGUAGGUGCUCAGGAAGGUCAACCACUCCCUCGCCCCCAGACAUCCCAGGUACCUCCACAGGAUGCCUGCACGGCAGGAGGGACUGCGAUUAGCUGGCCCAGCACUAGCACCAGGUGUGGGGCAGGGGUGUUGCUGCUGCUGAAUGCUGCGAUCUGCACAACUGUGCUGCUGUUUCUGAACUACAAAAGCCCUCUGGCAGGCAUCUACAGAAGAAACCUUUACAAUUGAUCUGGUUUAGCACAGAAAUUGUUGGCUAAGCCCCCAUCCAUCCCUCUGUUUCUCCACCUCUUGACACAGCUUCCAGCAAAAGUCUUUGCUUUGCCUUUCAUAGGGCUUUUAGCAGCAAUUCAAGCCCACUGAUGCAGGACUUGGAGGCACUGCAUUACAAUGCAAGAUUAUUCAGCUCUCUGACAGUUGG